UACAGAGGUGGCAAGCGUUGUUCGGAAUUACUGGGCGUAAAGGGCGCGUAGGCGGUCUUGUAAGUCUUGUGUGAAAUCCCUCGGCUCAACUGAGGAACUGCACGGGAUACUGCGAGACUUGAGUUCGGGAGAGGGAAGCGGAAUUCCGGGUGUAGCGGUGAAAUGCGUAGAUAUCCGGAGGAACACCGGUGGCGAAGGCGGCUUCCUGGACCGAUCACUGACGCUGAGGCGCGAAAGCCAGGGGAGCGAACGGG
rnacentral:rRNA from 1 species